rnacentral:rRNA from 1 species
GACGAACGCUGGCGGCGUGCUUAACACAUGCAAGUCGAACGAAGAGCGAUGGAAGCUUGCUUCUAUCAAUCUUAGUGGCGAACGGGUGAGUAACGCGUAAUCAACCUGCCCUUCAGAGGGGGACAACAGUUGGAAACGACUGCUAAUACCGCAUACGAUCUAAUCUCGGCAUCGAGGAUAGAUGAAAGGUGGCCUCUACAUGUAAGCUAGCACUGAAGGAGGGGAUUGCGUCUGAUUAGCUAGAUGGAGGGGUAACGGCCCACCAAGGCGAUGAUCAGUAGCCGGUCUGAGAGGAUGGACGGCCACAUUGGGACGGAGACACGGCCCAGACUCCUACGGGAGGCAGCAGUGGGGAAUCUUCCGCCAUGGACGAAAGUCUGACGGAGCAACGCCGCGUGAGGGAUGACGGCCUUCGGGUUGUAAAGCUCUGUUAAUCGGGACGAAAGGCCUUCUUGCGAAUAGUGAGAAGGAUUGACGGUACCGGAAUAGAAAGCCACGGCUAACUACGUG